AGAACAAUCCUUCAUUACUAAUGUUGAUGCUGAAGAUUGAUCCCGAUAGCAAGAAGUUCAUGGAUGGAGGACAAAGAGGACCUUCACAUUAGUUGCAACAUGUUGGUCCUGCUGUUUUUUGGCCUUGAGCAAACAUUAAUUAGGAGAGGGGUGGAAUUUGUAUUGCAGAGUGUGAAGAUUUGACAUCAGCUCAGACUGGAUAGAAACAAUUAAUCAGGGUUUUGAUACUGCAUGCACUAGUUUGCAAUGGCGACAUGUGUUGCAAAGAGAAUGACCGUAGCAGGUUUUCGGGUGCUGUUAAGAAGAAGAAGUCUUCUUGCUCAUGUUUUUGUCCUAUGGUGGGGAUUUCAAUAAUGCUUUCUGGUU